rnacentral:rRNA from 1 species
AACAGACCAACCCUUGAAGGCUUCUGCACCUCUCAGGAUAUUCUAGUCCAACAUCGAGGUCACAAACCUUUUUUUCGAUGGGAACUCUCAAAAAAGAUUAUGCUGUUAUCCCUACGGUAACUAAUUCUUUUAAUCGUAAUAAAUACGGAUCUAGAUUUAGAUAUUUUUAUAAAUAAAAGAAGCUUUAAUUGUUCCUUAGUCGCCCCAACCAAAAUUUUUUAUGAAAAGAAAUGUAUAAUACUUUCUUUAUAUCAUAAAUGACUUUUAAGCUCGAUAGGGUCUUCUUGUCUUUUAAUUCUAUCUAAGUUUCUUCACUUAGAAAAUAAAUUCCAGGGAUUUCUAUAGAGACAGGGUCGCCCUUGUCAAACCUUUCAUACUAGCCCUCAAUUAUAGGGCAAAUGAUUAUGCUACCUUUGCACGGUCAGAGUACCGCGGCCGUUAAAUACUA